rnacentral:rRNA from 1 species
GACGUAGGGCGCGAGCGUUGUCCGGAUUUAUUGGGCGUAAAGAGCUCGUAGGCGGCUUGUUGCGUCAGCUGUGAAAACCCGCAGCUCAACUGUGGGCUUGCAGCUGAUACGGGCAGGCUUGAGUUCGGUAGGGGAGACUGGAAUUCCUGGUGUAGCGGUGAAAUGCGCAGAUAUCAGGAGGAACACCGGUGGCGAAGGCGGGUCUCUGGGCCGAUACUGACGCUGAGGAGCGAAAGCGUGGGGAGCGAACAGGAUUAGAUACCCUGGUAGUCCACGCUGUAAACGUUGGGCGCUAGGUGUGGGGGGCCUCUCCGGUUCUCUGUGCCGCAGCUAACGCAUUAAGCGCCCCGCCUGGGGAGUACGGCCGCAAGGCUAAA